rnacentral:rRNA from 1 species
UACGAAGGGGGGCUAGCGUUGCUCGGAAUCACUGGGCGUAAAGGGCGCGUAGGCGGCGUUUUAAGUCGGGGGUGAAAGCCUGUGGCUCAACCACAGAAUGGCCCUUCGAUACUGGGACGCUUGAGUAUGGUGAGAGGUUGGUGGAACUGCGAGUGUAGAGGUGAAAUUCGUAGAUAUUCGCAAGAACACCGGUGGCGAAGGCGGCCAACUGGACCAUUACUGACGCUGAGGCGCGAAAGCGUGGGGAGCAAACAGGA